rnacentral:rRNA from 1 species
GAGAAAAUUGUGCAAGAAAGGUACAAGGACAUGGAAGCUUCCGGUGGCAAGUCAUUUCAACUAGAGCAUUGUUGGAAAUUUCUUCAAAAUAGCGAGAAGUGAAAGUUGAUUGAGAAAGAAUCCCCACCGAAGAGAGGUGCAUUCACCAAGAUGGAUGAUGAUGAUGAUGGCCCAAGAAACAAGAACAAGCCCAAUGGAAGCAAGAAGGCCAAGGACGAGAUCAGGACAGAAGCGGAGGCAUCAAGCUUGCGGGACAGGAUAGAUGCCAUGGUGCAAUCAAAUGAGUUGAUGGUGGCCAAGAAAUUGGAGGCAAAGAAGGAGUUGGCCGAGAAGAAGGCGCAAGAGAAGCAAGAAAAGUGGCAAUUACUCAAGGAAGAGGGGUUGCGCAAUGCUGUCAUUGAGGAGAGAAAAGCCCUUGCCGAGGAGAACAAGGCCUUAGCCAAGCUACUUGCCGAGGAGAACAAGAUCAUGACUAUGAACCGCAGUGACAUGAACGACCUCACCAAAGAAUGGCAUGAUAUGGAAAGGAGAGAGAUCUUGAAGAGAAGGAUGUUGGCGGCGACGGGUGAUGGCUUCGGUGCCGGUGGGGGAAUCGGUGGCAGUGGUGGAGAGUGA